UACAGAGGUCCCAAGCGUUGUUCGGAUUUACUGGGCGUAAAGGGCGCGCAGGCGGCUUAUUUUGUCAGUCGUGAAAGCCCCGGGCUUAACCUGGGAACUGCGUUUGAUACGGAUGGGCUAGAGUUCGGGAGAGGAGAGUGGAAUUCCCAGUGUAGAGGUGAAAUUCGUAGAUAUUGGGAAGAACACCGGUGGCGAAGGCGGCUCUCUGGACCGAUACUGACGCUGAGGCGCGAAAGCAUGGGGAGCAAACAGG
rnacentral:rRNA from 1 species